AUAAGUAUGUUAUUCUAUUUUG
rnacentral:miRNA from 2 species